GGACCCAGACAUGGAGCUUCGGGAAGAAGCUUGGUCUCCAGGGCCACUGGAUUCUGAGGACCAGCAGAUGGCCAGUCAUGAGAACCCAGCUAGCUAUUGGUGAGCACCCCUUUUGUGCCCCAUAUCCUGCUUUGGUUCCAUAAGUACCAAUUCUGCUUCAUGGUUGUUCCUCACGUGGUGGGCCUACAAACCUAGGAUCUGGAAGUUGUAAUGAACAAGGGAAGGACUGCAUUAUUGAGUUGAAAAACUCACCUGUGGGUUAUAUGGAGCCUAGGUUUGUUGGGUAAGACCCAUCCUGGCCCACCAACACCCUCCUCCCUCUCCCUGGUGAUUCCAGCCUGAUGACAAGAAAGCUCAUGAGAAGGCACAGUGGGCCAAGUUGUGUGUCUGACACCUGGAGCAGACGGCAUUGGCUUCUUCCAUAUUAAUAAAUUGGUGCUUACAAC
rnacentral:lncRNA from 1 species